rnacentral:rRNA from 1 species
CCUACGGGAGGCUGCAGUGAGGAAUAUUGGUCAAUGGACGAGAGUCUGAACCAGCCAAGUAGCGUGAAGGAUGACUGCCCUAUGGGUUGUAAACUUCUUUUAUAUGGGAAUAAAAUGUUCCACGUGUGGGAUUUUGUAUGUAACAUAUGAAUAAGGAUCGGCUAACUCCGUGCCAGCAGCCGCGGUAAUACGGAGGAUCCGAGCGUUAUCCGGAUUUAUUGGGUUUAAAGGGAGCGUAGGUGGAUUGUUAAGUCAGUUGUGAAAGUUUGCGGCUCAACCGUAAAAUUGCAGUUGAAACUGGCAGUCUUGAGUACAGUAGAGGUGGGCGGAAUUCGUGGUGUAGCGGUGAAAUGCUUAGAUAUCACGAAGAACUCCGAUUGCGAAGGCAGUUCACUGGACUGCAACUGACACUGAGGCUCGAAAGUGUGGGUAUCAAACAGGAUUAGAUACCCUAGUAGUC